rnacentral:misc_RNA from 1 species
GAUCCAAAUCUGUGGAAUGAGACCUGUCCAUGGACACGUUGAGUACUUCUCCAAGGAAUUUUACGCUCUGACAAAAGCUAUGGAAGGAAAUGCAUUUCUGAAAGAAUCUAUGAACUCCUUGAAGCAAAUGGUGUCUUUUGUGUAUCCUGAAUUAUUGCAGGCAGAAGAUCUAAUAUGAAAUUUAGGUUGUCUUUGAGCCCUUGGGUAGGUGAAUCUCAUAAUAUUGUUGAUAAUUAGUUGAUUUCUUUUUGCCUCUUGAUGUGCAUUUUCUUGCUUCAUAUUAUGUGAAGCCUUUUGUCCCAACAAUGGUUACUGGGGCAGGAAAGUUGGGGUAUAGGCUGCGAUGCGAUUGUUGACAAUGAUGAAGGGGUUAUGAUUUCAGUUUGAUAUUUGAGAGUUCAAACCAAUGUAUGGGAAAGGAAAGAGUGGAAGUAUCCCCCAUCCUAGAUAUU